rnacentral:rRNA from 1 species
UACGUAGGGGGCAAGCGUUGUCCGGAUUUACUGGGUGUAAAGGGCGCGUAGGCGGAUCUAUAAGUCGGUGGUGAAAUCCUGCAGCUUAACUGCAGAACUGCCGUCGAUACUGUGGAUCUUGAGUUCGGAAGAGAGUAGCGGAAUUCCAGGUGUAGUAGUGAAAUACGUAGAUAUCUGGAAGAACACCAGUGGCGAAGGCGGCUACUUGGUCCGUAUCUGACGCUGAGGCGCGAAAGCGUGGGGAGCAAACAGG